rnacentral:rRNA from 1 species
GAUAAACGCUGGCGGCGUGCCUAAUGCAUGCAAGUCGAACGGUCUAGCUUCUUCGGAGGCUAGGUAGUGGCAAACGGGUGAGUAACACGUGGGGAUCUGCCCAGUAGUGGGGAACAACUCCGAGAAAUCGGAGCUAAUACCGCAUACGGUACUUGUGGAGACACAGGAUACUAAAGCCGACGUAAGAAGGCGCUAUUGGAGGAACCUGCGGCUGAUUAGCUAGUUGGUGGGGUAAAGGCCACCAAGGCGAUGAUCAGUAGCUGGUCUGAGAGGAUGGACAGCCACACUGGGACUGAGAUACGGCCCAGACUCCUACGGGAGGCAGCAGCAAGGAAUUUUCGUCAAUGGGGGAAACCCUGAACGAGCAACGCCGCGUGGGCGAAGAAGUCUUUCGGG